rnacentral:ncRNA from 1 species
AAAGACUUAGUCCUAACCUUACCGUUAAUUUUUGCUAAAUAUAUACAUGCAAGUAUCUGCGCCCCAGUGUAAAUGCCCUUGAUAUCUUAUUAAGAAAAAAGGAGCGGGUAUCAGGCACACUCAAACCGUAGCCCAAGACACCUUGCUUAGCCACACCCCCACGGGUACUCAGCAGUAAUUAACAUUAAGCAAUAAGUGAAAACUUGACUUAGUUAUAGCAACUCCAGGGUUGGUAAAUCUUGUGCCAGCCACCGCGGUCACACAAGAGACCCAAAUUAACUGUAUGCGGCGUAAAGAGUGGUAGUAUGUUAUCACAAUGACUAAGACCAAAGUGCAACUAAGCUGUCAUAAGCCCAAGAUGCAUCUAAGACCCCCAAAAAAGAUCUUAGCGCCCCUGAUUAAUUUAACACCACGAAAGCUGAGGCACAAACUGGGAUUAGAUACCCCACUAUGCUUAGCCCUAAAUCUUGAUGCUUUCUAGUACUAAAGCAUCCGCCUGAGAACUACGAGCACAAACGCUUAAAACUCUAAGGACUUGGCGGUGCCCUAAACCCACCUAGAGGAGCCUGUUCUAUAAUCGAUAACCCACGUUACACCCGACCGCCUCUUGCCACAAAACAGCCUACAUACCGCCGUCGCCAGCUCACCUUUCCUGAGAGUCCAAUAGUGAGCACAAUAGCCCAAACCCGCUAACAAGACAGGUCGAGGUAUAGCCCAUGGGGCGGAAGAAAUGGGCUACAUUUUCUAAAAUAGAAAACCCACGAAAGGGGGCAUGAAAUUUGCCCCCCGAAGGCGGAUUUAGCAGUAAAGGGGGACAAUAUAAGCUCCCUUUAAGUCGGCCCUGGGGCACGUACAUACCGCCCGUCACCCUCCUCACAAGCUUUAACCCUGCAAUAAAUAAUACAACUAUCAGCUGAAGAUGAGGUAAGUCGUAACAAGGUAAGUGUACCGGAAGGUGCACUUAGUAUAC